GGGGCGGUAGCUCAAUUGGGAGAGCGCGUCGGUCGCAUCGACGAGGUUGUGGGUUCGAUCCCCAUCCGCUCCA
rnacentral:tRNA from 1 species